rnacentral:RNase_P_RNA from 3 species
CAAGGUAUGAAGAGCAAUCGCGCACAGCUUUUUAUUAAGCUGUGUGAGGAAAGUCCGGACUCCUAAUAAGAUGGAUGCCUGGGGAUGACUCAGGGGGGCGCAAGCCCAUGGAAAGUGCCACAGAAAAUAACCGCCAUCAUGUUCUUUGAUGAAUUUGUUGGUAAGGGUGAAAACGUGCGGUAAGAGCGCACGACUUUGCGCCAGUAAUGGCCAAGGGGGGUAAACCCCGUCCGGAGCAAGACCAAACAGCGUUAUUCGGUCUCUUAUUCCGCCAUGGGAAGCGUAAGCUUUUUGUGGGAAAUGAACGCGGGUAGGUUGCAAAGAUACAUGGUUGCUGCGUGCCUUUGGCACAGACAGAAUCCGGCUUACUGAGUACCUUGUUUA